rnacentral:rRNA from 1 species
CAUGUAGGCGGUUUUUUAAGUCUGGAGUGAAAAUGCGGGGCUCAACCCCCGUAUGGCUCUGGAUACUGGAAGACUUGAGUGCAGGAGAGGAAAGGGGAAUUCCCAGUGUAGCGGUGAAAUGCGUAGAUAUUGGGAGGAACACCAGUGGCGAAGGCGCCUUUCUGGACUGUGUCUGACGCUGAGAUGCGAAAGCCAGGGUAGCGAACG